rnacentral:rRNA from 1 species
ACGGAGGGUGCAAGCGUUAUCCGGAUUUAUUGGGUUUAAAGGGUCCGUAGGCGGAUCAUUAAGUCAGUGGUGAAAGCCGGCAGCUCAACUGUCGAACUGCCAUUGAUACUGAUGAUCUUGAAUACGGUUGAAGUUGGCGGAAUAGGUCAUGUAGCGGUGAAAUGCUUAGAUAUGACCUAGAACACCGAUUGCGAAGGCAGCCAACUAAGCCGUUAUUGACGCUGAGGGACGAAAGCGUGGGGAGCGAACAGG